AUUGAACGCUGGCGGCAGGCUUAACACAUGCAAGUCGAACGAGCGGCGGACGGGUGAGUAAUGUAUGGGGAUCUGCCUGAUGGCGGGGGAUAACUACUGGAAACGGUAGCUAAUACCGCAUACCAUCAGAUGAACCCAUAUGGGAUUAGAUUGUAGGGGGGGAAACGGCUCACCUAGGCGACGAGCCCUAGCUGGUCUGAGAGGAUGAUCAGCCACACUGGUACUGAGACACGGCCCAGACUCCUACGGGAGGCAGCAGUGGGGAAUAUUGCACAAUGGGCGCAAGCUUGAUGCAGCCAUGCCGCGGGUAUGAAGAAGGCCUUCGGUUUGUAAAGUACUUUCAGUCGGGAGGCGUUACCGACAGAAGAAGCACCGGCUAACUCCGUGCCAGCCGCCGCGGUAAUAC
rnacentral:rRNA from 1 species